GACGAACGCUGGCGGCGUGCCUAAUACAUGCAAGUCGAACGCUUUUUCUUUCACCGGAGCUUGCUCCACCGAAAGAAAAAGAGUGGCGAACGGGUGAGUAAACACGUGGGUAACCUGCCCAUCAGAAGGGGAUAACACUUGGAAACAGGUGCUAAUACCGUAUAACACUAUUUUCCGCAUGGAAGAAAGUUGAAAGGCGCUUUUGCGUCACUGAUGGAUGGACCCGCGGUGCAUUAGCCAGUUGGUGAGGUAACGGCUCACCAAGGCAACGAUGCAUAGCCGACCUGAGAGGGUGAUCGGCCACACUGGGACUGAGACACGGCCCAGACUCCUACGGGAGGCAGCAGUAGGGAAUCUUCGGCAAUGGACGAAAGUCUGACCGAGCAACGCCGCGUGAGUGAAGAAGGUUUUCGGAUCGUAAAACUCUGUUGUUAGAGAAGAACAAGGAUGAGAGUAGAACGUUCAU
rnacentral:rRNA from 1 species